GGCUGGUCUGAAGGUAGUGAGUUAUUGCAAUUGACUAUUCACAGUCAGUUACAGAUCAAACUCUUUAUUCUAUACUCUCUCCCCUUUUCACUACUGUACUUGACUGGUCUUAA
rnacentral:Y_RNA from 1 species